ACAUCCCGAAUUAUAGGCACCAAUAAAAGGUUUGGAUAUGUGGUGAGGAAUAGUAGUUAAGUUAAACCGUAAGGUAUAAAUUUGAUACGAAAUGCCGAUUAGUCAAUUUUCGGAAAUUUCUUUUGUCCGUGUAAAAUCAUAAAUCGAAGCUAAGGGGUAAUAAUUUUAUAAAUUACAAAUUAUGGCCUAGAAUAAUUGUUGAUAAUGUGAGGAAUUGUUUUGGGCCAUUUGAAGGUAAUUAAAAAAAUUUCUAUCGCCGAUAAUUUCAGUUUUUAACGAAAACGAUCGGCGAAACUUUUGAAGAUAUAGACAGGAAUAAUUUUGCCUUGAACUAGAAUUUAAAUGCUAAAUGAUGAUAUAAAGAGUUCCUAAAUGUGAUAUCAUAUGAUAGGGCAAUAAAAUGUUACAAGAUAAUUAAUUUAUUUAAAAACUAACUAAAUAAUUAAAUAAUGAUUAGAAUUCUCUAGAGAAUUCUUUUGUCUAUCAUCAACUCCAAACCCCCCCUCAUUUCAGCCACAAGCACGUCCUCCCCCUCUCCAUGGAAGACCAAAAGCUUAAGCUUUUUAAUUUCCAAAUAUUUGUCAUUUAAUCGGUAAAUCGAUCGGGGUAAUCUUGUAUCCGCCAGCAAAUCGAGCGAAGGAGCAUAUAGUGCGUUUUGAUCACAAAGGAGUGGAUUUAGAGGGUAGAGAAGUAUCAAGGUGAAAUAGGCUUAUGUUCAUAAGCCUGCGAGGUUAGAGUCGACAUUAUGUCAGUGGUGUUGCGCAGCUUUGCAUCUUUGGCGAGUCACUGGUGGUCAACUUGGUUUAGUAGUCGUGGCAUGUUAUGUAAUAGUUUAAUCUUUAACCUUCCGCUGGAUAAAUGUUAAGUUUUUAAAUGUAAUAGAUUUUAAUUAUGCUUUUAAGCUAAAAAGAAAAAGGAAAAAUUUCAGCACGGGUUUUCGAUACUGAAACGUGACAUCACUUAUUCGGUGGGUUACCUACCGGGUAAGGGGUGUUACAAGUUUUGGUAUCAGAGCCUAGGUUUAGGCGGUUCUGGAAAGAAGUGAUUCAGUAAAGUGUGUAGAAACAUGCCACAUAGGUUUAAUUGUCUGUUAGUACCAGUGACUCGAUGCAGCUGCUUAUGUCUAAAGUGGAAAGAAGUUAACAAGGUACGGGACAUAGUUUCCCGUGUGACCGAGAAAGAUGUUAUAUGGGACUGGCCACCCCAUAUAGCUCUAAUCUCGGUAGCGUCGGUAUGUGUAAAAGAUUUAAAAAAAAAAAUUCAGGGAGGAUGGGUCUGAAAAUGUUGAUGAAAAGUAUGUCCUAAUGAAAGAUACUAAUAAAUAUAUGCAGAUUAUGAAAGAGUAUAAGUAAAAGAGAAGAAAAUGAGUUAAAGGAAUGAUAUGGAAAGAAAGUAAGUUAUAGACUAAGUGACCAUCAUGAUAUAAAAGUGUAACACGAAAAUUCACAAAGGUAUGUGGAUUGUCUGAUAUAAGAUGGAUUAAGAGUCAUAAAGUAAUAUCCUAUAAUGAUAAACAAAAGUAUAGAAAUAUGUGAAAGGAAAUGUGUUUGGCAAAAUGAUAAAUAUUGAUAUGAAAACAUAUGAAACUAUAAGGCAUUAUAUGAAUAAAACCAUAAAUGUGCGAAUGAGAAAAUGCGACGAAUAAGAAAUAAAUGAUAUGAUCUGAACAUGUGUGCCCCUAUAUGGAUUACAUGUGUACUUCGAAUCGGGCAAUAUGAGAUAUGACGUGAUGUGAUGGAAAUAUGAACUGAAUAAUCGUGCAAGACAAUAAAUUAUAUGAUUGGAAAUGUGAACUCCGUGAGAAUUAUGUGUGCGCUCGAAUACGAGCUAUAUAAAUGUUAGAACCGAAUGAUGAUUCAGAAAUGAAAUGGAAAAUGGGAAUGUAUGCUCUAAGCGAGCUGUAUAGUAUAUGAUAAGAUAUGUCUAAAAAUAUGAGUUUGAAAUUGAGCUAUAUGAUAUAAAAUGGUAUUCUGGUUGAAAGUGUUGUCUGUGAUCUGUAAAUGUGUUAGUUAUGGAUAAGAAUGAGUUUUGAAAAUAAAUAUGGUUGUUGAUGAAUACUGACUUGAUAUUUGAAUUAUGUUGUGAUUUGGUGGUUUGAUUUGAUAAUCUGUGAUUAACAUUGUAUCUUGUUGGUUUUGGGGAAGCACUGGUUAUAGAGAAAACGCUGCCCAAUUUUUGCUAGAAAUUGAUCAGAUAAAUUAAUACGAAGUUGUGGUAAAUAAACUGAUAAGUGAUAAUACAUGAAGAGAAUGAUGUUACAUGAUGACUUAAGAAAGGAAAAAGGGAAAAGAUAAGAAGUGUUGUGAAUGAUAAUAAAGGAAAACGUAAUGAAAUGAUGAUAUGUGGAAAGUGAAAUGCACCCUUCGUCGGCUAUAAGUGCCCGAAUAGGGACUAUGCAAUUGGGACUAUACAAUAUAUGAUGAGUAUGUGAAAUAUACAUAUGCGUGAUGAAUAUGAUAUGUGCGCCUCAUGUGGACAAAGAAAAGAUGCAAAUAACAUGGAAAUUACUAUGUAAAGAAAUGAUAAUGUGACAAAUGUGCUUGAAAUAUAUUAGAGAUAAUGAUAAUAUUAUUAUGUGAUCGCAAAAUGUUGCUAUGUGUUAAGAUGUGAUUAUGUGAUUUUGUAUGUCAUUCUGUGUUUGGUUAUGGAAGUGAGGAUACGCUAUGUAGAUGAGGAUAUAGGAUGUCGUGGAAUGGCAUACGUAUAUGCGACGCUUAUAGGAAUGAUGUAAACCCGAGGGAAUUUCGAGGACGAAAUUCCUUUUAGGGGGGAUGAGUUGUAACAUCCCGAAUUAUAGGCACCAAUAAAAGGUUUGGAUAUGUGGUGAGGAAUAGUAGUUAAGUUAAACCGUAAGGUAUAAAUUUGAUACGAAAUGCCGAUUAGUCAAUUUUCGGAAAUUUCUUUUGUCCGUGUAAAAUCAUAAAUCGAAGCUAAGGGGUAAUAAUUUUAUAAAUUACAAAUUAUGGCCUAGAAUAAUUGUUGAUAAUGUGAGGAAUUGUUUUGGGCCAUUUGAAGGUAAUUAAAAAAAUUUCUAUCGCCGAUAAUUUCAGUUUUUAACGAAAACGAUCGGCGAAACUUUUGAAGAUAUAGACAGGAAUAAUUUUGCCUUGAACUAGAAUUUAAAUGCUAAAUGAUGAUAUAAAGAGUUCCUAAAUGUGAUAUCAUAUGAUAGGGCAAUAAAAUGUUACAAGAUAAUUAAUUUAUUUAAAAACUAACUAAAUAAUUAAAUAAUGAUUAGAAUUCUCUAGAGAAUUCUUUUGUCUAUCAUCAACUCCAAACCCCCCCUCAUUUCAGCCACAAGCACGUCCUCCCCCUCUCCAUGGAAGACCAAAAGCUUAAGCUUUUUAAUUUCCAAAUAUUUGUCAUUUAAUCGGUAAAUCGAUCGGGUAAUCUUGUAUCCGCCAGCAAAUCGAGCGAAGGAGCAUAUAGUGCGUUUUGAUCACAAAGGAGUGGAUUUAGAGGGUAGAGAAGUAUCAAGGUGAAAUAGGCUUAUGUUCAUAAGCCUGCGAGGUUAGAGUCGACAUUAUGUCAGUGGUGUUGCGCAGCUUUGCAUCUUUGGCGAGUCACUGGUGGUCAACUUGGUUUAGUAGUCGUGGCAUGUUAUGUAAUAGUUUAAUCUUUAACCUUCCGCUGGAUAAAUGUUAAGUUUUUAAAUGUAAUAGAUUUUAAUUAUGCUUUUAAGCUAAAAAGAAAAAGGAAAAAUUUCAGCA